UAUCAAACUGUACCAAUAUGUUAUUUCCUUAGCAAUUGCUAUUUCCUUGCUUUAAUUUGGUCCAUUGGAUCUCAGCAAUGUGCAAUAUCUGCCUUGAAAGUUUUUUUAUCACUGAACAGAUAUUUUUUAGUUUGUUAGAAAACCUCCAUAACUUCCUGCUGAAAGAUUAAAGGAUAGGAGACCGAGACUUCAAUGACCAAAAUCAGCAGCUAUGUGAAAUUGUAACUGAUUUUUUCUUAUUCCAUAUUAGGCCCACUAUGACUGCAUGUCCAAGAGUGGAGCCCAUCUUUUCAUUUUUGUCCUUCCAAAUAGCUGGAACGGUCCCCUCACCUCUCCACACCACCCC
rnacentral:lncRNA from 1 species